rnacentral:tRNA from 1 species
AUUUAUAUAGUUUAAUAUUAAAAACACCUCACUUUCAUUGAGAAGAAGAUUUCCUAAUCUAUAAAUA